UCCUCGGUGGUAUAGUGGUGAGUAUCCGCGCCUGUCAUGUGCGAGACCGGGGUUCCAUUCCCGGCCGGGGAG
rfam:Toxocara canis scaffold768, whole genome shotgun sequence.